rnacentral:rRNA from 1 species
GACAGAGGAGCCAAGCGUUGUCCGGAUUGACUGGGCGUAAAGCGCACGCAGGCGGUCGCGCGCGUGGGGUGUGAAAUCUGGCCGCUUAACGGCCAGGCGCCAUCCCAUACGGCGCGACUGGAGUGAUGCAGAGGUCGAUGGAAUUGCCGGUGUAGUGGUGAAAUGCGUAGAGAUCGGGCAGGAACACCCCAGGGGGGAAAACCAGUCGACUGGGCAUCUACUGACGCUGAGGUGCGAGAGCGUGGGGGAGCGAACCGG